GUGUUUACUUCGACAGCCCAUAUACCAAAAUUGGAACAAUACAGAGAUCAGCAUGGCCUCCGUGCAAAGAGGACACCAAAAGUUAUGAAGUGCUCCAUAUUUUU
rnacentral:snRNA from 1 species